GACGAACGCUGGCGGCGUGCUUAACACAUGCAAGUCGAACGGAAAGGCCCUGCUUUUGUGGGGUGCUCGAGUGGCGAACGGGUGAGUAACACGUGAGUAACCUGCCCUUGACUUUGGGAUAACUUCAGGAAACUGGGGCUGAUACCGGAUAGGAGCUCCUGCUGCAUGGUGGGGGUUGGAAAGUUUCGGCGGUUGGGGAUGGACUCGCGGCUUAUCAGCUUGUUGGUGGGGUAGUGGCUUACCAAGGCUUUGACGGGUAGCCGGCCUGAGAGGAUGACCGGCCACAUUGGGACUGAGAUACGGCCCAGACUCCUACGGGAGGCAGCAGUGGGGAAUAUUGCACAAUGGGCGGAAGCCUGAUGCAGCAACGCCGCGUGCGGGAUGACGGCCUUCGGGUUGUAAACCGCUUUCGCCUGUGACGAAGCGUGAGUGACGGUAAUGGGUAAAGAAGCACCGGCUAACUACGUG
rnacentral:rRNA from 1 species